rnacentral:rRNA from 1 species
GGGGAAUAUUGGACAAUGGGGGCAACCCUGAUCCAGCAAUGCCGCGUGAGGGAUGAAGGCCUUCGGGUUGUAAACCUCUUUUCUCAGGGAAGAUAAUGACGGUACCUGAGGAAGAAGCCACGGCUAACUACGUGCCAGCAGCCGCGGUAAUACGUAGGUGGCAAGCGUUGUCCGGAUUUACUGGGCGUAAAGAGCGCGCAGGCGGUCGUGCAAGUCGCGUGUGAAAGCCCCCGGCUCAACUGGGGAGGGUCACGCGAUACUGCUCGACUCGAAGGCAGGAGAGGGAAGUGGAAUUCCCGGUGUAGUGGUGAAAUGCGUAGAUAUCGGGAGGAACACCAGUGGCGAAGGCGACUUCCUGGCCUGUUCUUGACGCUGAGGCGCGAAAGCUAGGGUAGCAAA